rnacentral:rRNA from 1 species
AGAUUGAACGCUGGCGGCAGGCCUAACACAUGCAAGUCGAGCGGUAGAGAGGUGCUUGCAUCUCUUGAGAGCGGCGGACGGGUGAGUAAUGCCUAGGAAUCUGCCUAGUGGUGGGGGAUAACGUUCGGAAACGGACGCUAAUACCGCAUACGUCCUACGGGAGAAAGCGGGGGACCUUCGGGCCUCGCGCCAUUAGAUGAGCCUAGGUCGGAUUAGCUAGUUGGUGAGGUAAUGGCUCACCAAGGCGACGAUCCGUAACUGGUCUGAGAGGAUGAUCAGUCACACUGGAACUGAGACACGGUCCAGACUCCUACGGGAGCAGCAGUGGGAAUAGUUGGACAAGUGGGACGAAAGCC